rnacentral:rRNA from 1 species
CCACGAGUAAAGUGGCGUACGGGUGGAGUAACACGUGGAUCAUCUGCCCUAGAGUGGGGAAUAACCAGGGGAAACCUUGGCUAAUACCGCAUAAUCCCGAGAGGGGAAAGCCGAAAGGCGCUCAAGGAGGAGUCCGCGGCCGAUUAGCUAGUUGGGCAGGGUAAGGCCUACCAAGGCGAUGAUCGGUAGCCGGCCUGAGAGGGCACACGGCCACACUGGCACUGAAACACGGGCCAG